CACAACCUUUCUUCAGGAUAAAAUCACAGGGACAUGGCCAAGCUGUAUACAUGAUUAACAGUUACUGCAAUGAGAAAGGGUUAGAUGUAACUGUCCAGUCUGUGUAGUAAAGCUCUACAUACUUCAUGGACUCUUGCAUCACUUCCAUUUACAGGGUAUGGUAUAGCCAUCUAACUCGGUGUGGGCAGAAGAAUGUGUACCAG